UCCCAUAAGCUGAACCUGGGCAAUCGGAGCCUCCCUACCCCUCCCCUGUCCUUGGAAUGUGUGUUGUGCCCACUCUGUCGUUGCAAGGAUGCAGCUUUGAGAGAGCGCUAUGUCGUCGAGACUGUCUGGAAGGUACAUGUGACUGAACCGCAGUGAACCCUCCACAUGAACUCAGAUUCUGGCCUGCAGGUGUGGAGAUCCACUCGUCUGGUGGCCACCUGGGGCCAAGCCUGAUAAAAUGAUGCAUGGUGUCCCUUCACACGGAAAUGCGACUUCCCAGGACAGGAGCCUUUCCAAGAACACAACUUUGAGAGAGUAACACGUCCUGGAGACCAUGUGGACGUAGAUAUGACUGAACCCCACUAAGGCCUCUGUAAACUUUGAAGGUUCUGGAAGGUGGGUGCAGAGAUCUACCUGUCUUGGGGCACCUGGGAUAAGCCUCUUAAGUCCUCGUGCUUACUAACCCUGCCCUGCACCGUCUGGAGGGCCCUGCCUCUUCAUCUCUCCUUGCCCUCUGUGGAUGUGGCCACUUGCAGAUUUCACCGGGGAAGUUCCCGCAGUUGUAAACCGACAGUGUGGUUGUGCCCAGGGUUGGAGGGAGGGGGCACUGGGUGGAUGUGUGAAUGGAUGUCCAGUGUGGGAACGGCUGUGUGCAGGGGUAGGUGUCCCAGUCUGUGGUUGUAUGAUAUGCGAAGCGGGGCAAAAAAAGGUGUGUGUCAGGGCAGUGCGAGCAAACUCUGUGACAUGCAUGGAUCAGGCAGUGGGAAUUUGUGUCCGUGGAAAAUGUUUGGGAAGAUGGGGGCAUCUGUACAUCGCUGGAGUUUAAGAGUUUAAACAGCUGUGGUGUGUGUUUCUGUGUAGACAAGAAGUCACGUGUGCAAAGGGGAGGAGGGAAGAUGGGACCCAAGGCUUGAAACUGCCCUAUUGGUUCCCCCGGGGCCUCCACUUACCCCUUG